AUGGGGAAGGAUGAGAAGCUUCGACUAAGGUUCGAUUCGAGCGAAGCGAGAGAACGUUGCCGCAGGCAACGGCCCGAAGGGCGAGGCGCUUUAGCGCCGAGUAAUCCUUCCCCCACCACCA
rnacentral:sRNA from 1 species